rnacentral:rRNA from 1 species
AUUGAACGCUGGCGGCAGGCCUAACACAUGCAAGUCGAACGGUAACAGGAAGCAGCUUGCUGCUUCGCUGACGAGUGGCGGACGGGUGAGUAAUGUCUGGGAAACUGCCUGAUGGAGGGGGAUAACUACUGGAAACGGUAGCUAAUACCGCAUAACGUCGCAAGACCAAAGAGGGGGACCUUAGGGCCUCUUGCCAUCGGAUGUGCCCAGAUGGGAUUAGCUAGUAGGGGGGGUAACGGCUCACCUAGGCGACGAUCCCUAGCUGGUCUGAGAGGAUGACCAGCCACACUGGAACUGAGACACGGUCCAGACUCCUACGGGAGGCAGCAGUGGGGAAUAUUGCACAAUGGGCGCAAGCCUGAUGCAGCCAUGCCGCGUGUAUGAAGAAGGCCUUCGGGUUGUAAAGUACUUUCAGCGGGGAGGAAGGGAGUAAAGUUAAUACCUUUGCUCAUUGACGUUACCCGCAGAAGAAGCACCGGCUAACUCCGUG